rnacentral:rRNA from 1 species
GACGAACGCUGGCGGCGUGCUUAACACAUGCAAGUCGAACGGAAAGGCCCUGCUUUUGUGGGGUGCUCGAGUGGCGAACGGGUGAGUAACACGUGAGUAACCUGCCCUUGACUUUGGGAUAACUUCAGGAAACUGGGGCUAAUACAGGAUAGGAGCCCCCGCUGCAUGGUGGGGGUUGGAAAGUUUCGGCGGUUGGGGAUGGACUCGCGGCUUAUCAGCUUGUUGGUGGGGUAGUGGCUUACCAAGGCUUUGACGGGUAGCCGGCCUGAGAGGGUGACCGGCCACAUUAGGACUGAGAUACGGCCCAGACUCCUACGGGAGGCAGCAGUGGGGAGUAUUGCACAAUGGGCGGGAGCCUGAUGCAGCGACGCCGCGUGCGGGAUGACGGCCUUCGGGUUGUAAACCGCAUUCGCCUGUUACGAAGCGUGAGUGACGGUAAUGAAUAAAGAAGCACCGGCUAACUACGUG